rnacentral:rRNA from 1 species
AGUGAACGCUGGCGGUAGGCCUAACACAUGCAAGUCGAACGGCAGCACAGUAAGAGCUUGCUCUUACGGGUGGGGAGUGGCGGACGGGUGAGGAAUACAUCGGAAUCUACUUUUUCGUGGGGGAUAACGUAGUGAAACUUACGCUAAUACCGCAUACGACCUACGGGUGAAAGCAGGGGAUCUUCGGACCUUGCGCGAUUGAAUGAGCCGAUGUCGGAUUAGCUAGUUGGCGGGGUAAAGGCCCACCAAGGCGACGAUCCGUAGCUGGUCUGAGAGGAUGAUCAGCCACACUGGAACUGAGACACGGUCCAGACUCCUACGGGAGGCAGCAGUGGGGAAUAUUGGACAAUGGGCGCAAGCCUGAUCCAGCCAUACCGCGUGGGUGAAGAAGGCCUUCGGGUUGUAAAGCCCUUUUGUUGGGAAAGAAAAGCAGCAGGUUAAUACCCCGCUGUUCUGACGGUACCCAAAGAAUAAGCACCGGCUAACUUCGUG